AGUCGAGGGGCAGCAUGGUCUUAGCUUGCUAAGGCCGAUGGCGACCGGCGCACGGGUGAGUAACGCGUAUCCAACCUGCCUUACACUCUUGGACAGCCUUCUGAAAGGGAGAUUAAUACAAGAUGUUAUCAUGAGUAAGCAUUUUCGCAUGAUUAAAGGUUUACCGGUGUAAGAUGGGGAUGCGUUCCAUUAGAUAGUAGGCGGGGUAACGGCCCACCUAGUCUUCGAUGGAUAGGGGUUCUGAGAGGAAGGUCCCCCACAUUGGAACUGAGACACGGUCCAAACUCCUACGGGAGGCAGCAGUGAGGAAUAUUGGUCAAUGGACGAGAGUCUGAACCAGCCAAGUAGCGUGAAGGAUGAAGGUUCUAUGGAUUGUAAACUUCUUUUAUACGGGAAUAAACGAAUCCACGUGUGGAUUUUUGCAUGUACCGUAUGAAUAAGGAUCGGCUAACUCCGUGCCAGCAGCCGCGGUAAUACGGAGGAUCCGAGCGUUAUCCGGAUUUAUUGGGUUUAAAGGGAGCGUAGAUGGGUUGUUAAGUCAGUUGUGAAAGUUUGCGGCUCAACCGUAAAAUUGCAAUUGAUACUGGCAGUCUUGAGUACAGUUGAGGUAGGCGGAAUUCGUGGUGUAGCGGUGAAAUGCUUAGAUAUCACGAAGAACUCCGAUUGCGAAGGCAGCUUACUAACCUGUAACUGACAUUGAUGCUCGAAAGUGUGGGUAUCAAACAGGAUUAGAUACCCUGGUAGUCCACACGGUAAACGAUGAAUACUCGCUGUAGGCGAUAUACAGUCUGCGGCCAAGCGAAAGCAUUAAGUAUUCCACCUGGGGAGUACGCCGGCAACGGUGAAACUCAAAGGAAUUGACGGGGGCCCGCACAAGCGGAGGAACAUGUGGUUUAAUUCGAUGAUACGCGAGGAACCUUACCCGGGCUUAAAUUGCAACCGAAUAUGGCGGAAACGCUAUAGCUAGCAAUAGC
rnacentral:rRNA from 1 species